rnacentral:rRNA from 1 species
GACGAACGCUGGCGGCGUGCUUAACACAUGCAAGUCGAACGGAAAGGCCCUGCUUUUGUGGGGUGCUCGAGUGGCGAACGGGUGAGUAACACGUGAGUAACCUGCCCUUGACUUUGGGAUAACUUCAGGAAACUGGGGCUAAUACCGGAUAGGAGCUCCUGCUGCAUGGGGGUGGUUGGAAAGUUUCGGCGGUUGGGGAUGGACUCGCGGCUUAUCCGCUUGUUGGUGGGGUAGUGGCGUACCAAGGCAUUGACGGGUAGCCGCCCUGGGAGGGUGACCGGCCACAUUGGGCCUGAGAUACGGCCCAGACUCCUACGGGAGGCAGCAGUGGGGAAUAUUGCACAAUGGGCGGAAGCCUGAUGCAGCAACGCCGCGUGCGGGAUGACGGCCUUCGGGUUGUAAACCGCUUUCGCCUGUGACGAAGCGUGAGUGACGGUAAUGGGUAAAGAAGCACCGGCUAACUACGUG